GAAAAAAAUGAUGACUCUCCCAACUCCCUCCUCUGCUUGUGCUGCUACUAUAAUCCCAGGUGCACGUACCCAUUUCGUUAAUUCUCAAGAAUUCUCUCUGCUUUCAAGUCUGGAAUCAUGCAAAUCUGUGCGAGAAAUGAAGCAAAUCCAUGCUUUUAUUAUCAAAGCCAAAGCCAGAAAAGCCCCUCUUCCAGUCCAGCUCCUAAGUACUAAAAUCACUUAUGUCUUUCAACAUUUUGAUUUCAUUAGCAGCAAGGAAAACAUCCUCUCCUACGCUUGCUCCCUUGUCAAGCUCUGCUACCAUAAUCAUGUCUUCAUCUUUAAUUCAAUCAUCCAGUCACUCGCAAUUUGCAAGAACAGCUUCAGGCCUACGAUGGGAUUGUACCGGGAAAUGUUGCUAGAAGGUCUCUUGCCUGAUACAUACACUGUUCCCUACGUUCUCAAGGCUUGCUCGGAAUCCCAGUCUCUCAGAGAAGGCCAGCAGAUUCAUGCCUAUUCCAUCAAAACGAGUCUUGCGUCAAAUGUGUUCGUCAAGAACACUCUGAUGAGGCUUUAUGCUGUUUGUGGAAUUAUCAAAUCUGUUGAGAAGGUGUUCGAUGAAGGUCCUGAUAGGGAUUUGAUCUCCUGGACCACUCUUAUCCAAGGAUAUGCCAAGAUGGAUUAUAGCUCCGAAGCCAUCAAUACAUUCUUUCGCAUGAAUUGGAGAGCCGACGAAAUGACAUUGGUGGUUGUACUUUCCGCUUGCUCUAAAUUGAGAGAUUUGGAUAUUGGUAAGAAAAUUCAUGCAUAUAUGGAUCAUCACAAAAUUGACUUCCAUUCGGAUGUCUUUCUGGGUAAUGCAUUGCUAGAUAUGUACUUAAAAUGUGGCCAAUUUGACUUGGCUCGUCAGGUGUUCGAUGAGAUGCCUAUUAAGAAUGUAGUUGGUUGGAAUUCCAUGAUAUCGGGGCUAGCGCAGCAAGGACAAUCCAAAGAAUCCCUAGACAUGUUCCGCAUGAUGCAAAAUAUGGGUUUAAAGCCUGAUUCCUUUACUAUUGUUGGUGUGUUAAAUUCAUGUGCUAGUCUUGGAGUGCUAGAGCUGGGGGAGUGGAUUCAUUCUUAUAUUAACAAAAAUCAUAUCAAGGCUGAUGGGUAUGUUGGGAACGCACUAGUGGAUAUGUAUGCCAAGUGUGGAAGUGUUGAUUCUGCAAGAGAAAUCUUUGAUAGGAUGCAACAAAAAAAUGUUAUUUCUUGGAGUGCAAUGAUUGCAGCUUAUGGUUAUCAUGGGCAAGGCAAGAAAGCUCUAGAAUUGUUUCCUAUGAUGUUGAGUAGUGGGAUAAAACCAAAUAACAUCACUUUUGUUUCCCUAUUAUAUGCUUGUAGUCAUUCAGGCUUGGUUGAAGAUGGUCUUCGGCUUUUCUCGUUGAUGUGGGAAAGUUAUGGUGUAAGGCCAGAUAUAAAGCACUAUACUUGUAUGGUUGACCUCCUGGGCCGAGCUGGGAGACUAAAUGAGGCAUUGGGAUUUAUUGAAAAUACGACGGUUGAGAAAGACGAGGGUUUGUGGUCUGCUUUGCUUGGAGCCUGCAGGAUCCAUAAGGAUAUAGACUUGGCAGAGAAGGCAGCAAAAUCUCUUUUUGAGCUACGGCCCCAGAAUCCUGGGCCUUAUAUAUUGCUUUCAAACAUUUAUGCAAAUGCAGGGAGGUCGAAAGAUGUGGCAAAGGUUAGAGAUCUGAUGACCAAAAGGAGAUUGAAGAAAAUUCCGGGUUAUACUUGGAUUGAAGUGGAUAACAUAAUCUAUCAAUUCAGUGUCGGAGAUUGUACUCAUCCUCGUACAAAGGAGAUCCAUGAGAUGCUGAAGACUUUGAGUCGGAAGUUGGAAUUGGCUGGCUAUGUCCCUGAUACAAACUUUGUGUUACAAGAAGUUGAUGAUGAAACAAAGCUUGGUAUUCUUUACACUCAUAGUGAGAAGUUAGCAAUCGCAUUUGGCCUUAUUGCCACACACGAGGGAACUGCUAUCAGGAUAUCAAAGAACCUUAGGAUUUGUGGUGAUUGUCACACAUUUAGCAAGUUUGCAUCAGCUAUUACACAGAGAGAGAUCAUUGUUCGAGAUUCUAGCCGCUUUCACCACUUCAAGGAAGGGGCUUGUUCUUGUGGAGACUAUUGGUAAUUACUAAUUAUCCGCGGGUACUUUUUCUCAGUUCUUCUGCAUUUCCAUAGCAUAUAUAUUAGUGCUAUUGUUUAAGUGAGAGUAAUUUCCAUUACUGAGUCAUUGUGAGGGGCUGUACUUGGCUUUGCUUGUGUAUUCAGUAAGAUUUUCCUAACUUUAUGCAUGGCUCAAGGGAUGAAGAGGUGAGAGUUUUCUAAAGGAAAAGGAAGUGAGGGGAGGUGAAAAUUUAAAAAGUUCAUCCCAUCUCCAUGAACAAAGGCCUUUAGGAUCUACUAGAGAAAAACAUUUAACAUUUAUUGACGAUGAUAUGAUCAAAUUGGAAGAAUGAAAUCACUAUUCAAGAGAAGUGAUUUACCGUGGUGAGAGUUCUUUGCAGAAUUGCAGAAGGCGAAAUAUCUUAGCCUUGCUUAUCUGGAGGAAGGUGGCUUCCACUUAUAUGACAGUGAACAAUUAUGAAAAUAUUGAGCUCGUCUAGGAUUAUAUUUGAGUCGUUGGAAGUAUUUCCUAAUCCAGCUUUUGUAAAUAUCAGUACUGGCCCAACGGGUCAAUUUAGUGAUUCGGAUUGAGUCCUUAUUUGAAUCAAAG
rnacentral:misc_RNA from 1 species